rnacentral:rRNA from 2 species
AACUCUCGGCAACGGAUAUCUCAGCUCUCGCAUCCAUGAAGAACGUAGUGAAAUGCGAUACCUGGUGUGAAUUGCAGAAUCCCGCGAACCAUCGAGUCUUUGAACGCAAGUUGCGCCCGAGGCCACUCGGCCGAGGGCACGCCUGCCUGGGCGUCA